AUGGGUGUCAUCGUUCUCGAUCUUUAUCCCCGGGAAUCAGCCCCUUUUCUCUCCAUAUUACGUGCUUACUUUUGUUGUAUUUGUUUUGUAUGAAUUUUUAUGUUUUUGUUGAUUGUUGAAAUUGGAGUAUAUCUCGUUUAGAUUGUGAACUAUGCUAGAAUUAGUUGAAAGUUUUGGCUAGAUUGAACUGUAAUUAUGCUGAAGAUAUUUUUAAAUGUAUGAUUUUACUGGAUUUAUAGAGGGUUUGAGGUUAGAUUAUGAAGUAACUGAGGUUGGAUUUUGAAGAUCUUUUUUGUUUUGAAGUUUUAUUUGCUCGGAUGAUUUUGCCAGUUCUAAAGAUGAUGAUUGUGUAAAAGGAUUUUGGUUUAAAUGGCGAUGAAUGAUUUUUUUUUUUUUUUUUUUUUUUGUGAAUUAACCUUGGCUCUUAUGUCAUCAAUUUACUUUAGUUCUUGGUUCAUAAUACAAAAUUCUGAACAUUUUAGUACUUGAAAGUUUGGUUUGUUAAUUGAACAAUGUGGGCUCCUCCACCGCCUCCAAUGGCUGACAACAUACGAGGAAUUCACACAGAUGAAAUCCAAAUUUGAGAAUAUUAGAGGCUUUAAAAUUGUUGUGAUGCUAUUGAUGCCACUCGUAUAUUAUGAAGUUGCCGUCAGCAACGGAUCGAACAACUAAUGUUUGGCUUGACGGAAUGAGUCAAUUGCGGUAUACUUCAUGUAUAAUGGAUCAAACGUAUGUUAGCUAAAAAGGAAAUGGGUCAAAUAGGAGAAAUGGUUUCAGUGUGGCCUUAGCCCAUUGACUCGAAACUAACUUCUGAAGCUUCUUAUUCCGGUGGCCUUUUGUCAUACCAGUAACAUAUCAUUUGUAGCCGUUACAGUCUCAUUCACCCACACAAUCAAAGCCCUUGAGCCGUUCUUCAAUGCUGUUGCUUCUCAAUUUAUUCUCGGACAGUCGAUUCCCAUAACUCUAUGGCUUUCUUUGGCUCCUGUUGUUAUUGGUGUGUCAAUGGCCUCUUUGACUGAGCUGUCAUUCAACUGGCUAGGCUUUAUCAGUGCCAUGAUUUCCAAUAUCUCUUUCACUUACACUCUUACAGGAGUAUCUACUUUAAGAAAGCAAUGGUUGUUAACGGGCUAUGGCUUAGAGCCGUGUUAGCAUGUGUUUUUGGGAGUCGUAUUUUAUACGGAGGGUAUGACUCCACCAUAUCAAAUUCUUUAACCGAGGGCUCGGUGAAAAAAACGGAUGGUGGUGGAGAAUCAUACAUGACCUCGAAAGGGCUUAUGGAAUUAUUCAAAGUGAGCCUUGAAGUUGAUAUGCAAAAAGAAAUUGAAGAGGACCAUAAAGGAAAAAAAAAAGGAAAAAAAAAGUUGAACUAUGCCUGAAGAUUUUGAUAGCCAACAAGCCAACCUAAGGCUACAAUGCUCAAUAUUGUGAAAAAGCUACAUAUCGAGUACUUUGUUUUGCAUGUAAUUGAAAACUUUAUUUUUGUUAAUUUUUUAGCAUAGUAAUUGAAAACUUUAUUUUGAUUAUGUUGUUAUUUUGAGUUUUGACAUAUGUUAAAUUACAAUAUAAGAUUAUCUAUUAUAUUUAUGUUAUCAUUGUGUUGUU
rnacentral:lncRNA from 1 species